rnacentral:rRNA from 1 species
GGGACACGUGGUAUCCUGUCUGAAUAUGGGGGGACCAUCCUCCAAGGCUAAAUACUCCUGACUGACCGAUAGUGAACCAGUACCGUGAGGGAAAGGCGAAAAGAACCCCGGCGAGGGGAGUGAAAAAGAACCUGAAACCGUGUACGUACAAGCAGUGGGAGCCUCUUAAUGGGGUGACUGCGUACCUUUUGUAUAAUGGGUCAGCGACUUAUAUUCUGUAGCAAGGUUAACCGAAUAGGGGAGCCGAAGGGAAACCGAGUCUUAACUGGGCGUUAAGUUGCAGGGUAUAGACCCGAAACCCGGUGAUCUAGCCAUGGGCAGGUUGAAGGUUGGGUAACACUAACUGGAGGACCGAACCGACUAAUGUUGAAAAAUUAGCGGAUGACUUGUGGCUGGGGGUGAAAGGCCAAUCAAACCGGGAGAUAGCUGGUUCUCCCCGAAAGCUAUUUAGGUAGCGCCUCGUGAAUUCAUCUCCGGGGGUAGAGCACUGUUUCGGCAAGGGGGUCAUCCCGACUUACCAACCCGAUGCAAACUGCGAAUACCGGAGAAUGUUAUCACGGGAGACACACGGCGGGUGCUAACGUCCGUCGUGAAGAGGGAAACAACCCAGACCGCCAGCUAAGGUCCCAAAGUCAUGGUUAAGUGGGAAACGAUGUGGGAAGGCCCAGACAGCCAGGAUGUUGGCUUAGAAGCAGCCAUCAUUUAAAGAAAGCGUAAUAGCUCACUGGUCGAGUCGGCCUGCGCGGAAGAUGUAACGGGGCUAAACCAUGCACCGAAGCUGCGGCAGCGACACUAUGUGUUGUUGGGUAGGGGAGCGUUCUGUAAGCCUGUGAAGGUGGCCUGUGAGGGUUGCUGGAGGUAUCAGAAGUGCGAAUGCUGACAUAAGUAACGAUAAAGCGGGUGAAAAGCCCGCUCGCCGGAAGACCAAGGGUUCCUGUCCAACGUUAAUCGGGGCAGGGUGAGUCGACCCCUAAGGCGAGGCCGAAAGGCGUAGUCGAUGGGAAACAGGUUAAUAUUCCUGUACUUGGUGUUACUGCGAAGGGGGGACGGAGAAGGCUAUGUUGGCCGGGCGACGGUUGUCCCGGUUUAAGCGUGUAGGCUGGUUUUCCAGGCAAAUCCGGAAAAUCAAGGCUGAGGCGUGAUGACGAGGCACUACGGUGCUGAAGCGACAAAUGCCCUGCUUCCAGGAAAAGCCUCUAAGCAUCAGGUAACAUUAAAUCGUACCCCAAACCGACACAGGUGGUCAGGUAGAGAAUACCAAGGCGCUUGAGAGAACUCGGGUGAAGGAACUAGGCAAAAUGGUGCCGUAACUUCGGGAGAAGGCACGCUGAUAUGUAGGUGAAGCGACUUGCUCGUGGAGCUGAAAUCAGUCGAAGAUACCAGCUGGCUGCAACUGUUUAUUAAAAACACAGCACUGUGCAAACACGAAAGUGGACGUAUACGGUGUGACGCCUGCCCGGUGCCGGAAGGUUAAUUGAUGGGGUUAGCGGCAACGCGAAGCUCUUGAUCGAAGCCCCGGUAAACGGCGGCCGUAACUAUAACGGUCCUAAGGUAGCGAAAUUCCUUGUCGGGUAAGUUCCGACCUGCACGAAUGGCGUAAUGAUGGCCAGGCUGUCUCCACCCGAGACUCAGUGAAAUUGAACUCGCUGUGAAGAUGCAGUGUACCCGCGGCAAGACGGAAAGACCCCGUGAACCUUUACUAUAGCUUGACACUGAACAUUGAGCCUUGAUGUGUAGGAUAGGUGGGAGGCUUUGAAGUGUGGACGCCAGUCUGCAUGGAGCCGACCUUGAAAUACCACCCUUUAAUGUUUGAUGUUCUAACGUGGGCCCGUAAUCCGGGUUGCGGACAGUGUCUGGUGGGUAGUUUGACUGGGGCGGUCUCCUCCUAAAGAGUAACGGAGGAGCACGAAGGUUGGCUAAUCCUGGUCGGACAUCAGGAGGUUAGUGCAAUGGCAUAAGCCAGCUUGACUGCGAGCGUGACGGCGCGAGCAGGUGCGAAAGCAGGUCAUAGUGAUCCGGUGGUUCUGAAUGGAAGGGCCAUCGCUCAACGGAUAAAAGGUACUCCGGGGAUAACAGGCUGAUACCGCCCAAGAGUUCAUAUCGACGGCGGUGUUUGGCACCUCGAUGUCGGCUCAUCACAUCCUGGGGCUGAAGUAGGUCCCAAGGGUAUGGCUGUUCGCCAUUUAAAGUGGUACGCGAGCUGGGUUUAGAACGUCGUGAGACAGUUCGGUCCCUAUCUGCCGUGGGCGCUGGAGAACUGAGGGGGGCUGCUCCUAGUACGAGAGGACCGGAGUGGACGCAUCACUGGUGUUCGGGUUGUCAUGCCAAUGGCACUGCCCGGUAGCUAAAUGCGGAAGAGAUAAGUGCUGAAAGCAUCUAAGCACGAAACUUGCCCCGAGAUGAGUUCUCCCUGACCCUUUAAGGGUCCUGAAGGAACGUUGAAGACGACGACGUUGAUAGGCCGGGUGUGUAAGCGCAGCGAUGCGUUGAGCUAACCGGUACUAAUGAACCGUGAGGCUUAACCUU